rnacentral:sRNA from 1 species
GAGCGAAACUCCAUCUCAAAAAACAAAAAAAGUUCCAGUUCUUUGAGGUAGGGGUUCCUGUUUGCCUCCUAUGUCUAUCGAUAUUUGCUUUUAGAAUGGUAGUUUUCCUUUUUAUUCCUUUUCUAGAAAGUAAAGUUAACAUGGAUUGAUUUAAUUUUUUAAAAAUAGGACACCGUGGUUUCUCAUGCCAAUACUGGUGGAAAAAUUUCCAUUUGUUCGAAAAUCAGAGAGAACACUGGAAUGUUACGUUCAUAACUUACUAAGGAUUAGUGUAUAUUUUCCAACCUUGAGGCAUGAAAUUCUGGAGCUUAUUAUUGAAAAACUACUCAAGUUGGAUGUGAAUGCAUCCCGGCAGGGUAUUGAAGAUGCUGAAGAAACAGCAACUCAAACUUGUGGUGGGACAGAUUCCACGGAAGGAUUGUUUAAUAUGGAUGAAGAUGAAGAAACUGAACAUGAAACAAAGGCUGGUCCUGAACGGCUCGACCAGAUGGUGCAUCCUGUAGCUGAGCGCCUGGACAUCCUGAUGUCUUUGGUUUUGUCCUACAUGAAGGAUGUCUGCUAUGUAGAUGGUAAAUCACAGUAGCUACUGUUUAUUGAACACCUGCAGUGUACCUG